UACAUCCUCUCAGACAGUCAGUUUUAAUUCGGUCCCCGUGUUCACCGGCAAAAUUUUCUAUUUGGCGUGUAAUUUUUUAGUUUUUUUUCAAUAACUUGGGUGCUAAUGACAAAAUCGAAGAGAAAAUUCGCGAUUACCGAUAAAUUUCUUCCCAGACUCGCUAAAAACCUGUGCACCCGAAAAGGCAGCCGUCGGGCUAAUACCGGAAACCGUCUAGAACACGCGGUGCUAACCCACAUUCAGCACGUACCAUAGACAAGCAGCCCCAGCCAUCCUUCACCCAUCAUCCAUCAUCUCAUCAAACACGAUGGCCCGUGGAGACGAUUGUAAAAUAGCCACCAAGACUUCCUUUGUCAAACAAUUUGAAUUUCCAACACCAAUCAAGAAACCAAUCGUUGAUAAACCUUUGCCAAAAAAACAAGAGCAAAAGAACUACGGCGCUUGGGGCUCCACGUUUAAGGACAAGAAAACGUUCACGGACAUGCACUUCUGCUAAUUUUGUCAUGUUAUCAUCACUAUCGCUUACAGUUAAUCGUCAUUAAACCUCAUCUAGUUGUAAAGCUCCAACCAAAAUUAUUUGUAUCAGAUCGGCUAAUAAAUGUUGGAUAAGUUUUUGUGGCGUUUAGCAUUUCUUCUUCGUAUUUACUCACAUCUAAUGGUAGUGGUUUCGCGUACUAAUAUCAUGUAUCUCAUUAUAAUAGAUUAAACAGCAUCAUCAUAACUUUGAUUUUUUUGUUAACAACCUAGUAGAAUAGAAUAUUAUUUCGUUUAGACUUUUAAUUAAGAGAGGCGUUGACAAGAAUUUCGACUACAAUAUGAUAAUAUGACAUCCGUCAAACAAUAUAUUCUCUGAAAGUUGUUCCAUUUAGAAUUUUACUGACGAUAAUAAACACAGUAACCAAAAGCUAGAGUGGCCAGUAAAAGUCAUGCACAACAAUUUUGUCCCGUUAAAUUAAGAGGAAUAUGAAGUUCCACGAAAAUGAGAUUUUAAUGAUUCCCGCGGGCAUUUGGUGAACACUGAUAGUAAUGUAUUAAUCAUUAAUUUUCGCUGGCGGUGAACACAAAUAUUUUUUAUUAAUACAUAAAUUACACACACUUAAAAAGUAAUUAUUAGCCGAAGAUAGGUGGUGAAACUUACCAAUUUUAUUACAAUAAAUAACGAAACCUCUGAAUUUUUUGCUCUACUAUAUAGACAACAAUACAUAUAUUAUUUAAAAAAAUAAGGCAAUUUCAUUAAAGAAAACAUCGUAAGUGAAAUUAUUUUCUCAUCUGUAGAGUUGGCUCCUAUCGCGCCGCUAUAGACACAUUCUGUUCUAAUUAAGAUUCUCCGACUUUGAAUAUCUUUGUCUCUUCUUGUUGACCUAAAAAGCUGACAUGUUACAUUCAAACACCUUAUUUUUGUUGACCCUAGAUUGUAAAGCGUCUUUUAAGUGUGUCUUGAUGUUAUCGUACAAUUUAUUACGAAUGAAGUUAUAUAAAAAUUAAACAUGAAAUUUUUGUAAAAGAAAGAACUGCUAAGAAAUAAAAACAUUAAUGUGUACCGGGCGAGUGAAAGAUCAGGUGAAGUGUCUUUGGUAUUUAUUGCUAUAGAAAAUAAAUGUUGUUAAAGUUCUUAAAUCGAAAUACUGUGACAUCCUUAUGCUAGUGCUCUAAUAUACAUCAUGUUUCUGAGUCGGUUUAAUGUCACAGAGCUAAGUCCCGUGUUAGAUUAUUGCCAUUGCUAUUCUUCUAUGAAAAAAAAAUUUUUAGACAACUCCGUUUAGAUGACCACAUGAAGUGAUCAUGCGUUUGCUCUGAUAGUUUGGUCAUGUCCGUCGUCCUUCCGAGGUGUAAAUGGAAUAUAAUAAAAUCGCCCAGUCUAUGGAUUUUGAGAUAGUCAAACUAUCCAGGUAUAAACUUACAAAACGCUUAAAAUAUAUGCUACUAUUACUACUACUUCAGGUCUUCUACUCUAAAUUUUUAUUUAAGACAAACGAGCUUGAAGGUCGUAUCC